CGCAGCGCCCCCUUGCGGGGGGAAAGGCGUGCCCGCUUUUCUCUGGCGCUUCUCUGCCGUUCCCCUCAGCUGCCUUCGCUCCUCAGCCGGAGCCUCCUCCGCCCUAAGGCUGACAGGGGCGAACCCUUCGCGACAGGAAAGCCUGGCCGCGGCCUCGUAGACGGGACGGCGAGGCCCAACUGGAGGGAAACCAUGAAGGCGAAGAAGAGGCGCGGGGCCUCCCGGAAAGCAGUGAGGCUCCAAGCCCCACCAAGGAUGCCAUGAAUUUGAGGUUCUUCCCCACAGCUUUUUAAAUAAAAAUGUUUCCGUACGAGAGGGAUCUAGAAGCACUUCCUGUGCACUAUGUUGGGCCCGACUUCGGCAUACUCUUCCUUGGAGAUCCACAUCUCCUGGAAGGCAGAGAGCGACGCCAGGAUGGAUCCCCCCAUCCACACCGAGAUCUUCCUGUCGGGAGGGGCAUUGACCAUCACUUCGGUGUCCUUGGGUGCCAUGCGGAUCAGCUCCUUGGUUAAGCGCUCUGCAAUCCCAGGGAAGAGGCUGGAGCCGCCAGAGAGGAGCACGUUGGCGUACAAAGUGGUCCUCAAGUCAAUGUCGCACUUCAUGAUAGUGUUGAAGAGGAGCUUAUCAAUCCCCGGGGCCUCCAUGCCCACAUUCGCCGGGCGGAAGAGCGUCUCGGGGCAGCGGAACAACUGGUUGUGGAUCUUAAUGAUCUGCCCAUCGGGCAGCUUCCAAGUCUUCUCUAUCGCCGUUGGCUUUUUAGCCAUCUCUUCCUCUGGGUUCAGGCAGACGUAGCACAAGGCUUCCUUGAUGAUCCGCACAAUUUCCCUCUCGGCUGUGCUCACUAAGGCAAUGCCACUCUCUCUCAGGAUCCUCAUGAGAUAUUCAGUGAGGUCCCGGCCCGCCAGGUCCAGCCGGAGGACGGCAUGAGGCAAGCAGUAGCCUUCAAAUAUGGGCACGGUGUGGGUGACACCAUCGCCAGAAUCCAUCACGCAGCCCGUGGUGAGGCCCGCUGCGUAGAGCGCCAGUACGGCUUGGAUGGCCACGUAAAGGGCUGGCACCUCAAACUUUUCAAAGAGCAGUCGCGUCAUUUGUUCACGGUUAGCCAACGGGUUCAGUGGUGCCUCGGUUAAUAGCGCAGGUCUGUUGCAGGCAUUGAGCUUGAGUUCAUUCUCAUACACAUGUUUCCAAAUUUUCUCCAUGUCUGGCCAGGAAGUGACAAUUCCAUGUUCCACUGGGUAUCUAAAUUGUAUUCAUACAAAUAAAAGAAAGAUGAUGGUGAUAUAUUAUCAAAUGGAAACAUGCCCACCACCAUGGAAAGUCAUCACUCAUAAGCACACCCCAAAAUCACAUUAUACUAGUUCACAUGGACACUAAGUUUACCGACUAUAUUCAGUCCCCAGUCCCUACUUUUUCACCUAACAAACAAAUACUACUUCUCUAAGAAUACAGUAGAGUCUCGCUUAUCCAACAUAAACAGGCCAGCAGAACGUUGGAUAAGCGAAUAUGUUGAAUAAUACGGAGAGAUUAAGGAAAUGCCUAUUAAACAUCAAAUUAGGUUAUGAUUUUACAAAUUAAGCACCAAAACAUCAUGUUAUACAACAAAUUUUAAGGAAAAAGUCGUUCAAUACACAGUAAUGCUAUGUAGUAAUUGCUGUAUUUAUGAAUUUUGCACCAAAAUAUCACGAUGUAUUGAAAACAUUUACUACAAAAAUGUGUUGGAUAAACCAGAACGUUGGAUAAGCGAGUGUUGGAUAAGUGAGACUCUACUGUAUUUAGGUACUCCAGGUCAUUUGGUGUUAUGCCUCUUCUGGAAAUUACCAUGGAGUUGUAUUGGAGGUUCUAGAGAUUUUCCAAGAUGGUUCUAUAGCAGGCAUUGGCAAACUUCGGCCCUCCCGGUGUUUUGAACUUCAACUCCCACAAUUCCUAACAACUGGUAGGCUGUUAGGAAUUGUGAGAAUUGUAGUCCAAAACGCCUGGAGGACCAAAGUUUGUCCAUGCCUGCUGUGUAGUAAAUUCCAAUACAACUUUUUCAUUUCAACAGUCUGCUAUUAUCUGUGUUUUCAUGUUUCCACUAUAUGUUCAGAUACAUAUCCCCAACAGAUACAAGGGUGGGUUUUUUUUAAACUAGAAAUGCAAGUAUUUAUUAAACAUCCCAAACCAAAAAAAAAGUACAAAAAUGCUAAAUAUCCCAUGCAGGUCGUAUUUCUGUGGUCAGUCUGAACCACCAGUGUUUAACACUCUAAAAGCUACUGUUCCUGGAGAGUUUGCUUUGUUUUUAAUAUGGAAUGACAGGUCAUUUAUUAAACUUAAACCUAUUGAAUUUAUAGGACAGCAGUAUGUAGAAUAAUCAAUAUAUUUUUAAGGGACCUAAUUCCUAGUAAAACAGUCAUUGCACUACUGUUGUAAUAUGAAAACAGAGUCAAACUGCUUCCAGUUAACCUACUCCUAUGCAAUGUCUUUAAGAUGGGGUGAAAAGUUCACUGUGCAACGAAAUUCAUGGCAACGAUCAGUCCAUUAAAAACAACAUUUCUAAAGUUUUCCCAACUUGCUACAAUACAUGCACACUUGAAUUGGACCAUGAACCUUCUUGAACAAGUUAACCCAACUUAUGAAGUACAAAAUGCCCCUCUUAUUUCUCAUGCUUUAUUAAUUUUAGCAUGGGGCGGGAAAAUUUAGCACAUAGUGGUGGAUGGCAUCUCAACCAAAAUGGUGCAGGAUUUCAAAACUAAAAGUUGAGGCUGGAUCUACUUUGCCAAAUAAUGCAGUUUCAGAAUGCAAUAUAUGAGUCUACUAUACUAUACAAUCCAGUUCAAUGCAGUUAUACCACAUUAUAUGGCAGUGUAGAUCCAGCCUCCGUGAAUGCCCACUUUUGACUUUGGGAAAAGAACAGAAAUACCUCACUUUAAAAGGAGAUGUGCUAUGCCUGAAGGCUUCCUGAACCACAAAUUUCCUUGAUAGAACAAUAUUUUGCUAGUACAGUAGUCUCUCACUUAUCCAAGCUAAACAGGCCGGCAGAAGCUUGGAUAAGCGAAUAUCCUGGAUAAUAAGGAGGGAAUAAGGAAAAGCCUAUUAAACAUCAAAUUAUGCUAUGAUUUUACAAAUUAAGCACCAAAAUAUCAUGCUUUACAACAAAUGGAUAGAAAAGGCAGUUCAGUAAACUAUAAUGAUAUGUAAUAAUUACUGUAUUUAUGAAUUUAGCACCAAAAUUUCACAAUUUAUUGAAACAUUGACUACUAAAAGGCAAACUGCGUUGGAUAAUACAGAACCUUGGAUAAGCGAGACUCUACUGUAAUUGCAAGUUGGUUAAAAGGGACUAAGAAAUUACCUCUUAUCUGAUUCCUAGUGCCAAAUAAAACAAAUCCACUGAAUCAAUUACAUGUACCUAAUCUUUGAUUUAUCAUUCAACAAGGAUUUAAUAGAUCCAUUCUAAUUGGGAUUCGCAGGUGGCUUUGAAAUCUUUUUUGUUAGGUUGCACCAUGGAAGCAAAAAGCUAGUUCCAAGCCUUGUAUUUCCCUCAGUCUAACCCAAAUUGUCUUCUACCUGUGGUGAAGGACAAGAUAUCUGCAAUACAGCCCCAGAUUGCAUUACAACAUCUGAUCAAAUUCACAGCUGAGUCAUAUUGAAACACAACCAUGCUGCAGCUAAGGAAAGAAGUUUAGGAGGGACAAGCUAAAUGGCACACACAGCUCUGUCUUUCCAACUUAAAUGCUCUGGUUCCCAAGCAUCUGCUGCCUGAGGUUGGACCCAAGUGACUUAUUACAGUCUUUUCUGUCCAGAGAGGGAAGCAUCCACCAGCUAAGCACAUCUAUGGCCCCAUCUCCACUUCGAUAUACUAUAAUGCAAUUUAACUGUAUUGAACUGCAUUCUAUGGUGGUGAAGACUCAUAUAAUAUCUUAGGUAGUGGAGAUGCGGCCUCUGCUUGAAUUCAGCUGUUCUUUAAACACCUACCAUCCAGCUUCCAAUGCCACUAUAUUAACCACAGAAAAAGAACAGCAAACAUAUCCCUAGUGCCAGAAGUCAAACUAUUGAGAAGAACCAUCAAUUGUAAAGUCUUUUGCUGUAACUGCUGGACAAAUAAUUGAAGGCCUUCAACAUCACAGGUGAACACAAUGUCCAUCUGUGGUUUUGCACAUUGCAAGGUGUAUUGCCUUCUGGCUACUUAGGCAUAAUGGUUAACACACUGAUUUUCUCCUUCUCAACUGACAACUAGUUCCUGCUAUUUCAGCAGGUUUCCUAGACCCUUAUCAUCUAGCUUAGUGGUUCUCAACCUGUGGGUCCCUAUAUGUUUUGGCCUACAACUCCCAGAAAUCCCAGUAGUUUUGCCAGCUGUUAGGAUUUCUGGGAGUUGAAGGCCAAAACAUCUGAGGACCCACAGGUUGAGAACCACUGAUAGCUCAUAGUAAGCACUGAAUCUCUUCUCUUUCUAUCCUUUUCCACCUAUGUGUCAUGUUUUUAGAGGGCAGAGAAUGUCAUAUAUAAUCUAUCAUGUUAGAUGCCCUGACCAGACCUUUUGAUAAAAAGGACAGGCUAUAAAUACUAGAAAGGAAGGGAGGAAAGAAUCCGGAGAGUGCCAGAAAGCUAGAUGGAAGGAGGGGGAAGAUGAUGGAUAGAUAGAUAUGCAGACAGCUAGAUAGAUAGUGCUUGUCCUGCCUAGGCAGUCUCCACUGCUGCAUAGCCACCCAAUGCUCAGGUUAGCCAACACUUAUCGAUUCCUUGUGGUUCACAAGGGCGAUCGGAGCACCUGAGGGAGAGGAUCCCUCGCUUGGCUUGUGCUUCGUCUCCAAUGUAGUAGUCCUUCUGGCCGGCUCCUAGCAUCACAGACUUGGCCUUGGGACGCCCGACCAAGUUGGUGAAUAUGACCCGUGGCUCCUUGUCCCCGGCGACCCCAGCUUUGAGCAAGCCAGAGCCAUUGUCGAUCACUAUAGCUGGUGGCAGUUCCCCCAUUCCUGGACGAUGGUCUUGCUUCUGCUUGUUCCUGCUCAGGGCCCUUGCCCCUCAGUGGGUCUAUCUUUCACUGGGGGGAAAGUGAGGCUCACAAUCUCCCAAGGCAGGUGUUGCUGGCUCUAUUGUGACUUGCAUGUUGCUAUGAUACCUUCUCCUCCAGCUGUGCAGAGGCUCCCACAAUUGGGUGCCCCCGGUAUCCACUGACCCUCUUGUGUGUGUAAAAUACCAUAUUUUAUAUUUUAUACAAACUUUGGAGAUAUGAAGCCACCAAUCAAGACUCAGGUAACCUUUCACCGGCACCUCUUGAUCCUGGAAUUCCCUCCAGUGUUUUCCUGGUCAUCAUAUCAACAAUGGAUCCAAGCACCCAUUAUCUCUGGAACCAAUCCAUCUCUAUUAGUUCCCUGUUCAAGGAAUAACAGGGACCUAAGUGAUUGGGUCACCUUCCUUUGUGCAGUCAUAUGGAUACAAAAGGGACAGUAAUCACCUGGCGCUCUUCCCUGAUACUGGGAGGUCCUGCCCCAUUUUCCAAGAUGCCAUUUCCACGUUUCCCAGGAAUGGAUUCCAUAAUCCCAUCAUUUUGGACAAUGCCUUGGCAUGGAUACAAUGGACAUGGGUGCAGUGAGUGCCCGACCAACCUUGAUGGGUCACUCACAAUACAAAUGACAAAUCCAUAAUUAUCAGGGACCUGAUGGCCCUGCUUUGUUCAUCUCAAGAGAAUGGGAGAUGGUCCAACCCCAAAUCUUACAUACUAUUUUCCACGCUUCAAUAUCCAUGAAAUUGUUAUUCUCCCCUUCUCGUAACUGGAAAGUGAUAAUACAAUGUGAAAACAUG